rnacentral:pre_miRNA from 1 species
CAACUACUCCCUUUGUCCGAAAUUUCUUGUCUUAGAUUUGUCUAGAUACAGAUGUAUCUAAUACUAAAAUGUGACUUGAUACAUCCGUAUCUAGACAAAUCUAAGAUAAGAAUUUUGGGACAGAGGGAGUACUUU